GCAUCAAACAAACAAGUUCGUUUUGGCACAUUCUUCUUGAUUAUUACUCCUGUACACAUUAGGUUCUUGCAUUUAAUCUGGUUCACAUGCUUUCGGUUCAGCCAAUAAAUGUGCGGAACCGGUGGCAGGCAGAGGUUUACAUAUUUUUCAUACAGCCUUGGGAUAAAACAGAGGGAGGUUUAUGGAGGAGAUAUGGCUGUGAUUGAUGUUAUGAAGUUUGCAGCAGAGCAUGGAAGUAACUUUUAUCAUCUUAUGAGAGAAAGUAACCUCAAUGAAGAAAGAAUGGAUGAAACUCACUUACAAAUACAGGGAAGGCCAAGGGAGCAGGUUUUGGCCGAGAAAGGUCAAGAUUGGAAGAAAUACAGUGCUAUAAAUACAGGGAAUAGGGACAACAGAGGCAGAGAAAGGUUAGAAGAUACUCUAGGAAAUAUAAAGUCCAGUGAUGAAUUGUAUCAAAAGUACAAAGUUCAGUUGGAAAAUUUUAAAACAAUGAAGAAAUGUUCAACCUAAGAUCGAAGGCAACAAAAAUCAUUGAUAGCUGGAAGUUCAAUCCAAGUGGUAAGAUCAUCUCAAAUAAAACAUAAUAAGCAAGAUCACAAGAAGCAAUCACUUGAUCAACAAGGUAUUUUAUUAUUUAUCUAUUGGUGUUAGUAUGAAAUUCAGAUGCUCUUAAUUUUUCUAAGGGCUUGUUUUCAAUUCAAAGUCUUGUCAGCUUGAAUGAAAUAAAUUUCUUAAAGACCAAAUUUCUUAAAGACCAAGAUAAGUGUUUGAAUUAUCUGCGUAUUCAUGGUAACGGCAUAGGUGUUUGAGAUAGAUAGAGAUAUAGUAUUAGUUAACGUAAAAACGUAAAAUGGCAUAGGUUUUGAAAAAAAUUCACACAAUCACACUUGACUUUUCUUUUACACAUCGGUAAUCAAUUAUGAACGUUUCGUGAUUCUUGUUAAAAUUGAAUUGAAGUGUGAACAUGUUCUGCUAAAUUCUAUAAUCUUUUUUUCUUGGUUUUUCUACAACUAUAUAUCACACUACCCCAUCAUAUCUAGUAAGCUCAAAUACAUUUUUUUCUUAAAAAAAAAAAAAAACUACCCCAUCAUAUUACUGAUUUCUCACAUUUUAGUUUUCCAUAUGUAAUCUGGCAGUAUAAAUUUUCAGCACAUGUUUCAUCUGUUGUGAUGUUCACAGGGUAUGUGUUACAUUGCUUUGAUGUGCAGCAUAGGUCUACUUUCUCAAUCACACUGUAUCUUGUUAAAUUUUCUGUCUGAAGUGGAGAAGUAGAAGAUGAGUGCAUAAUAUAUAUAUAUAUAUAUAUAUAUAUAUAUAUGCAACUAUUGCUAGGCUUAAUUUGGCUAUCUGUACUGUGUAUGCGUGUCUGUAUUGUUUUCGUUCCCAAAUAGUUGUUCUUUAAUCGUGUGCAAAUUGUCUUGCUCUUUUUUUUUGUUUCUUCCAGUGUUUGUGUGUUUCUUUCAGUGUUUGUGUGUUUUUGUAUUUGGAACUUGUGUACAACACUCAAUUAUCUCUUUGCCUUUCCCAAGACGAGCAAGUUUGGACAAUUUGGUUAUGUCAUACGUGCUGUUUGUUCUGACAAUUUGUUCAUUGGGAACAACUUAACUUUGACCGAGGAGGUUUUCUAUAAUCGUCUUUUAAAUUCACAACGAUGAAGAUGAUACUUCUUAAAAAACAUCAUGUUCAUUUAAGGGCCCAGGGACUUCUCUGUAUUAAGAGGAAGCUGCAAUUGUCUCUUCAUAUUGGUACACGAUGUUCUUGCAAAAUGUUCCAAUGAGUCAUCAUCUUCUGGAGGUUGUCCUAUAGUCGCUACUGUUGCUGGGCUAUAAUUUGGUCAUCACUGUUGAGACUCUUGCAUUUCAAUCUUUUUUUGCAUAAUCAGCGUCUACUUUUGUCAGCUCUUUUGAGUUUUUUGUGUAGGUGUUGCAGGGGAAGUGGCCUAUAAAUGUGUGGCAGGCAGAGGUGUUGCAGGGGAAGUGGCCUAUAAAUGUGUGGCAGGCAGAGCGAGUCGGAGUCCGGAUAUCGAUCAUUGAUUCAACAAAUAAUAGCGAAUUUCUCUAGAUAGACAAAUAAAAUUUCAUCUGGACUUGGGUGUUUCCAAUGUAGUAUCAGAUAAUGGUAAUGUUGUGCUAAAGUUGAUACAUGGUUAUAACCCCAGUGUUGAAUUGUGAAUGAAAACUGCAUCUUUGUUCUAUGUUCUGCCAUGUCUUCUGUUUUGAAGCAGUAACUUACUGGGUAGUAUGAAGCAAUCAGGUUUGGGUACCAAGUCUUCGAAACAGCUUAAUAGGUUUGGGUACUAAGUCUUCGAAACAGUUUAAGAGGUUUGGCUAUCCCUCGUAGAACCUGCAACUGGAGAAAGAAGUUGCAAGCUAAGAAGUCUUGAAAUCUAGAACGAUUUGAUAUAUGACAAAAAUGGAGAAUGGUACCAGAUAGAUAAAUUAAACUUCUUCAAUACCAAUCGUUCUUUAUCAUUUUUAUUUUUGGGCUGUGAUUGUGAGACUAUGAAUUAAAUUUUGAACAUAUUUUAAAUAUUUCUUCUGAUUUUGUCUUUAUCGCUGGUAUUCUGUUUCAAUUAGGUAUCAGAUUGUGGUGAUGUUUUGCGAAACUAGAUUCACGAUAAUAAGUGCCUCUGGUUGAAUUGUGAAUACUGAAUGUACUGUAUCGUGUUUUGAAACAGUAGUUUUGAGUUGUUUCAAGCAAUAAGGUUUAUUUUGGUACACUCUUCUUGGAUUGUAAAUUAACUUCUUGGGUAGUUCCGGGUAGUUUCAAGCAAAUCAGGUUACUUGGAUUGUAAAUUAACUUCAAUUUAAUUAUCCUCUGUUUAGUUUUAAUGUUUAUCGAUGGACGGUGAGGGUUGGUGACGACUUAAUUUUGUGGGGCGGGGUUUUAUAUAGUUUUACAUAAUCUUGUACUGUUUUGUUGUUUUUAUUGUUAUAUGUGAUUUGAGAUUUGUACUUCUAAAAAGAUAUCCGCUUCAUUACUGUAUUAGGAGGAAUCCAAAUUUGUGUUAUAUGAGUACAUGAUGUUGCAAAGUGGGUACAUGUUGCAAAGUGGAUACAAUUUGUUCCAGUGAAUGAUCAUCUUCUACAGGCUUUAAUUUUGGUCAUCUCUUCUACGACGCUUUACAUUUCAGCUAGUUUACUCAGUAUCUACUUCUGCAGUUCUUUUGUGUUAUUUGUGUGGGUAUUACAGGGGAGAGGUUCACAUACUUUUCGUUCAGCCUAUAAAUGUGUGGUUUGCUGCGAAAUCAGUGGCAGGCAGAAGUUUACAUACAGGGUUUGCUGUACUUGUUUACUUUUUCGCUUGGUAGGGAUUUACGUAUUAAUACGCAUUUCCCAGAAUUUCAAGAGUUUUUCUCCUAAAUUAGAAGCAUAUUGGAGAACUAGAAUCUGCUGUACUUUCCUAAAUUGGUAUGCCUCACAAAUUGUGAAAUCACAAAACCGACCUGAUCACAAGAAACCAUCAUUUGGCUAAUCUUAUCAAAUAUCGGGAACAACCAGACCGACCUGAUCUUUCUGCUCCUCAAAGCUUGCAAUUGUAUCUGAGAUUUGACCCGCUGAUAAUUUCCUCUGAAUUGAACUCUGGCAGGUUGGCAAUUUUCAUUUUUCUUUAUAUAUUCAAGGUGUUUGUUUUACAUAUUCUAUCUGCAAUUUAUGUGCCUCCUUAUGAAAGAAAUUUAGAACUAUAGCAUGAAAAGGAGCAAAAUUUGAUGAUGGCGAAUCUCAUAUAUGCUCUAAUCUUGAAAAUAAGACUAAUUGCAGAACAACGGUAUUUUACUUUCCCUCGUUUUAUAUUCCCGGUAGCAUAUAGAUAUUUGUUUUGCAAAUCUUACUAUCUGCUUUUGUUUAUGUUUUGUCUCUACUCAGCUCUCAAGGUCUUCACUUCUUGCUGAACUGGCAUCAGAGGGAGUAAUGUCCUAUGCUUCAUAAGAAGUGCAUGACAUUUACACAGACAUUUCUUCCCUCGGAUCUUGCACUUAAAAGUACCACCCAAGGAUGAGGUUGCUACAACAGGUGCAUUUCUGUAGAUGCUGUUAAACAUAAAUUUCUACCAAUGAAAGUUGAUCACAGGAAAAAAGUUGUAAUUUUCUGCAAGAAGGUAUGUUUUCCUUUGUUAAACUUUGUUGUACUGGAGAAUUGCAAUUUAUUUGUUUGAAGAGAAUAUUGUGUUGCAUGUGUGGAAACUGAACUUAGAUAUGGUUUGGAAUAAUAACAAUAGAGAGAGUUGGGGUAGCACACCUAUUUUAGGAAAGAUGAUUAAUUCUUGAUUUAGCUGGUUUGAGCAUGUUAUUUGAGGAAUUGUAGAAAAUAAUAAGUGAAUAUUGUUCUAGGUUAUUCCUCAGCUCAAGGUUGGUUUAAAUAGGAAGAGUACAAAAAUAAAAGGAAAUAAUAGAUAAGCUUAGAAUCUCCUAGAAAUAACAAACUAGGAAACCAAAUAUUUUCCAACACCCUCCCUCAAGUUGGUGCAUAGAUAUCUAUCAUGCCCAACUUGUCUAUCAAAUGCUCAAAGGUGGGUCUUGCUAAGCUUUUGGUCAAGCUAUCCGCAGUUUGCUGACUCAAAGUUACAAAAGGUAGACAUAUGAUUCCGGCAUCUAACUUCUCUUUUACGAAAACUUUUUCUUUUGGUUUACUAUUAUUGGAAAACUUUUUGUAGUUGUGAAUGUUACCGGAGAACUUAGUUAAUGUGUUCACAAUGAUAGAAGGGUAAAGUUGGAAUUUUUUAUAUUUUUUUGGGGUAAAGGUAUUAAAGUUGGGGUAGGAAAAAAAAAAAUUCCCCGGUCUAAACCGCAAAGUCAAAAAUAAGGCCCAAUCCGUCCAAAAAAUGAAGAUCGGUUUUCACGGAUUUGGGUUUGCGAUUUUAGCGCGUUCCCGGGCAGUUUGAAGCGGUUAAACAUAAAAAAAUAAAAAUAAAAACAAUAACAAACCCAAAAAUUGGAGUUUAGAUCCAUAAAAUAUGCAAUCGGAGCUGAAAGAAUCAUGAAACAAACACAAAAGGAAAGUCUUAGAAACCCUAAAUCGACAUAAAAAAUAAGAAAAAAAAUUAAAAUCGCAAAUAAAAUUAAAAUAUAACAUUUGAUUUCAACGAAGUUAAACAAACAAGAUGAAUUAUUAUCAAGUUUUGGGUUUCAAAAUGUUUCAGUCUCCGUGGGUUUGAGAUGAAGUGAGAAAGUGUGUAGAGGAGACAUGAGAAGAGCCUAGAUUCGGCGUUUUGAUUUACUCAUGCGGGCGGGUUUCGGGCACCGUCCUCUACUCGGACUCACCCCUUACCAACCCAGUUUAAACCAAUUUUUUCAACCCGCUAACCCACGACCCAUUAUAAACCGUCCAAAUCUCUAAUUUUUGGGCGGGUUUUGUUGGGUUCGGACGGGCCUCGGUUUUUUACCCAACCCCUAACAAAGAUGGGGGUUUAAACUUGACCAAAAAUAAAACAAUGGAGUUAAAUUUUGACAAAUAAAUAUAGAGUAAAAUGUCAAAUACCCCCUAAAAUUUCAAAUUUUGUCAAAUACCCAUGAAAUUUGGAAAUAGGAAAAUACUCCCGAAAAUUGUAAAAAGUCAAUCGAAUUACCCCCUGCUCUGUUUACACCGUCUAUUUUGAUGACGUAGCUGUUAACUGCAUACGUAGCACCUGCCAAUCAGAGUCCACGUCACUGACACUCAUUUAAGUGGGGGUAUUUGACCGAAAUUGGUAACAAAUAUACCAUUAUAACAGUCAUAUUCAAUGAUGUUAUGAAAUUUUAACAGUCAAAUACCCCCUAAAAUUUAUAACUUAUUGUCCAAAUACCUUCAGUCAAAUUGCCCUAUGUGACGUGGCAUCCUAAUACUUUACAGAUCAUCAUGCCACGUCACCCUUAUUAGCCACAUCAUCAUCGCACUUAACGGAACAAAAUAAUGGAGGGGGCAAUUUGAUUGACAUUUUACAAUUUUAUGGGAGGUAUUUCUCUAUUUCCAAAUUUCGGGGAGGAUAAGUAAGGGGAUAUUUGACGAAUUUUAAAAUUUCAGGGGGUGUUUGGCAUUUGACUUAAUAAAUAUCUAUAAAAAAAAAAUAAAUUUAUAAGCAAUAUCUAUAAACUUUAAUCACUAGACAUUGUAAAAAAAAAAAAAAUUAUAGUUAUUUAUUCUAGUUUUUUUUUUCACACUCCAUCUAUGUAAGAUCUGUGCCUAUGCAUCAGCCUGUGGAAAAAACAAGGGCCAAUGCCAGAAUUUCAGAUCCAAAUUAUUGUUGGCAAAUUUAUUCCAGUUCUUUCAAAUAAGAAGUUUUUAAGUUCUUAAAUCAAAAUAUCAAUUUCUAAAUCAAAAUAUCAAUUUUUGAGUUCUUUUUUUUCAUUACCAAUAUCCAGUCCACUGGACCGUUUAAUCUGAUUUAGAGGUCAGUUCUGUCAUUAACUAGUUCUAGCCCCAUCUGAUUGCAAUUGCGGGAUCGAAAAAUGGUUCUCCCAAAAAAAAAUAACACAAAAAUAAAUCAUAAACAUACUGAAAUAAAGAUCAUAUAUAACCAACCAUAUUAAGAUAAGGGCAUAAUUAGUUAAUUGGUCCCUUAAAGACAUUUUAGGUUUCAUAAUGGUCCCUUAAAGAAAAAAAGUUUUGGAUUGGUCCCUUAAAGACAUAUCCGUCAGUCGUUUUGGUCCCUUCGGUCCAUUUUUUCCAAAGAAACGUUAACUAUUAAUAGAUGAACCAAUAUACAUUGUGGUCUACCGUAGACCUCAAUAAAAUUUAAAAUUUUAACCAUUUGAUUAUUUUGUCAAAAUCUUAACCAUCAAAUCAUGUAAAGUAUAUGGUAUCUAAGAGCCAACCAACCACACCUAACUUUUUCUCCUUUUAUUUUCAUCUUCUUCCUUAUUCUUCUUCAUCACCAGAGAAGAAGUAGUGCCAAAAACCAAUAACAAAAAGCAAACGUUUUUCACAAUCACCAACCCGCAUAUUCACAUGGUGAGCAUGAUCUUCACCAUCACCCCCUUCUUUUGAAUCUCUUCAAAAUCUUCAAUACCCAAAACUCAAAAUCCCUCAAUUCAU